AUUGAACGCUGGCGGAAUGCUUUACACAUGCAAGUCGAACGGCAGCACGGACUUCGGUCUGGUGGCUAGUGGCGAACGGGUGAGUAAUGUAUCGGCACGUGCCCAGGCGUGGGGGAUAACGUAGUGAGGAUUACGCUAAUACCGCAUACUAUCUCUGGAUGAAAGCGGGGGCGCGCAAGACUUCGCGCGAUGGGAGCGGCCGAUAUCAGAUUAGGUAGUUGGUGGGGUAAAGGCCCACAAAGCAAACGAUCUGUAGCGGGUCUGAGAGGACGACCAGCCACACUGGAACUGAGACACGGUCGAGACUCCUACGGGAGGCAGCGGUGGGGAAUUGUGGACAAUGGGCGAAAGCCUGAUCCAGCCAUUCCGCGUGCAGGAUGAAGGCCCUCGGGUUGUAAACUGCUUUUGUACAGAACGAAAAGGUUUCUACUAAUACUAGGAGCUCAUGACGGUACUGUAAGAAUAAGCACCGGCUAACUACGUGCCAGCCGCCGCCGUAA
rnacentral:rRNA from 1 species